GGCAUGCCUAACACAUGCAAGUCGAACGGUAACGGACCGCUGGGAUUCCUUCGGGAUGACCUUGGUGCCGACGAGUGGCGGACGGGUGAGUAAUACUUAGGAAUCUGCCCAGUAGUGGGGGACAACAUUCGGAAACGGAUGCUAAUACCGCAUACGCACUACGGUGGAAAGUGGGGGAUCUUCGGACCUCACGCUAUUGGAUGAGCCUAAGUCGGAUUAGCUUGUUGGUGAGGUAACAGCUCACCAAGGCGACGAUCCGUAGCUGGUCUGAGAGGACGAUCAGCCACACUGGGACUGAGACACGGCCCAGACUCCUACGGGAGGCAGCAGUGGGGAAUAUUGGACAAUGGGCGCAAGCCUGAUCCAGCAAUGCCGCGUGUGUGAAGAAGGCCUGCGGGUUGUAAAGCACUUUCAGUAGAGAAGAAAAGCCUAGGGUUAAUACCCCUGAGUCUUGACGUAACCUACAGAAGAAGCACCGGCUAACUCCGUGCCAGCAGCCGCGGUAAUACGGAGGGUGUGAGCGUUAAUCGGAAUUACUGGGCGUAAAGCGCGCGUAGGCGGCUUUGUAAGUCGGAUGUGAAAGCCCCGGGCUUAACCUGGGAAUUGCAUUCGAUACUGCAUAACUAG
rnacentral:rRNA from 1 species